rnacentral:lncRNA from 1 species
GGGUGCUAUAGGGUGCUAUGAGACGAUAUGGGGCGCUAUGGGGCGCUAUGGGGUGCUAUGGGAUGCUAUAGGGUGCUAUAAGGUGCUAUAGGGUGCUAUGGGGCGCUAUGGGGCGCUAUGGGGUGCUGUGGGGCACAAUAGGGUUCUGUGGGGCACUAUGGGGUGCUAUGGGGUGCUAUGAGAUGAUAUGGGGCGCUAUGGGGUGAUAUGAGAUGCUAUGGGGCGACAUGGGGCGCUAUGGGGUGCUAUGGGGGGAUGUAGGGCGCUAUGGGGUGCUAUGAGACGAUAUGGGGUGCUAUGGGAUGCUAUAGGGUGCUAAAGGGUGCUAUGGGGCGCUAUGGGGCGCUAUGGGGCACAAUAGGNNNNNNNNNNNNNNNNNNNNNNNNNNNNNNAAUAUGGGGUCUUAUGGGGUGCUAUGGGGCGAUAUGGGGCACAAUAGGGGGAUGUGGGGCGCUAUGGGGCGCUAUGGGGUGCUAUGGGGUGACAUGUGGCGCCGUAGGGUGCUAUGGGGUGCUAUGGGGUGACAUGAGGCGCUAUGGGGUGACAGGAGGCGCUGUGGGGAGACAUGGGGCGCUAUGGGGUGACACGUGGCUCCGUAGGGCGCUAUGGGGCGCUAUGGGGCGCUGUGGGGCGGUCAGUGGCGGGGCUCGUCGGGGGCGGGGAUGCGGUGGCGGGUGGGCUCCGUGCCCCAGAUCUCGCGGGCGUAUUGAGCGAUAGUUCGGUCGCUGGAGAAUUUCCCGGCCGCCGCGAUGUUCCGGAUCACCGUGCGGGUCCACUGUCGGGAGUCCUGCGCGACAGCGCCGCGAUAUGGGGUCAGAACGCAGCGGUAUGGAGUCAGAGCACCGCGAUAUACGGUCAGAGCACAGCGAUAUGGGGUCAGAGCGCCGCGAUUUGGGGUCAGAGCCACAUCAAUGGGGUCAGAGCACCGCGAUGUGGGGUCAGAGCACCGAGAUAUGGGGUCAGAGCGCAGCGAUAUGGGGUCAGAGCGCAGCGAUAUGGGGUCAGAACUCAGCGAUAUGGGGUCAGAGCACACUGAUAUGGGGUCAGAGCACCGCGAUAUGGGGUCAGAGUGCAGUGAUAUGGGGUCAGAAAUCAGCGAUAUGGGGUCAGAGCACACUGAUAUGGGGUCAGAGCGCAGCGAUAUGGGGACAGAGCUCAGCAAUGGGGUCAGAGCACUGCAAUAUGGGGUCAGAGUGCAGUGAUAUGGGGUCAGAGCACAGCGAUAUGGGGUCAGAGCGCCGCGAUGUGGGGUCAGAAAUCAGCGAUAUGGGGUCAGAGCACUGCGAUAUGGGGUCAGAGUGCAGUGAUAUGGGGUCAGAACUCAGCGAUAUGAGGACAGAGCUCAGCAAUGGGGUCAGAGCACCGCGAUAUGGGGUCAGAGCCACCAUUAUGGGGUCAGAGCCACCGUAAUGUGGUCAGAGGCACAGUAAUGGGGUCAGAGGCAAAUCACUGAGGUCAGAGCCACAGUAAUGGGGUCAGAGCCACUGUAAUGGGGUCAGAGCCACAGUAAUGGGGUCAGAAGCACAGUAAUGGGGUCAGAGCCACUGUAAUGGGGUCAGAGCCACAGUAAUGGGGUCAGAGCCACCGUAAUGGGGUCAGAGCCACCAUUAUGGGGUCAGAGCCACUGUAAUGGGGUCAGAAGCACAGUAAUGGGGUCAGAGCCACUGUAAUGGGGUCAGAGACAAAUCAUUGGGGUCAGAGCCACCAUUAUGGGGUCAGAGCCACCAUUAUGGGGUCAGAGCCACUGUAAUGGGGUCAGAGGCAAAUCACUGGGGUCAGAGCCAUCAUUAUGGGGUCAGAGCCACUGUAAUGGGGUCAGAGCCACCGUCAUGGGGUCACAGCCACCGUCAUGGGGUCGCAGCUACAUCAGUGGGGUCAGAACCCCAUCAGUGGGCAAAGACCACCCCAUAACCUCACCCCAUAACCCCAUAACCCCACCCCAUAACCCCAUAACCCCACCUCAUAACCUCACCCCACAACCUCAUCUCCCCGCAGCCCCACACCCCAUAACCCCACAGCCCCCUAACCCCAUCACCCCAUAACUCUAUGACCCUAUAACCCCCCGACCCCAUAACCUCCCGACCCCAUAACCCCCCUGACCCCAUAACCCCCCCGACCCCAUAACCCCACAAACCUUGUACAGCUCGCUGACGCGCUCCUGGCAUUUCACGUACGCUUCGUAGUCGGCGAAAACCUUAAACCUAAGGGGGAUUUUAUGGGGUCAGCGACCCCAAAUGCCCCAAAAUGGGGAGAGAGGGGGCGGCGCUAUGGGGUGGGAACAACAGUGGGGUCGGGGAACCCAGAAUGGGAUCGGGAAAGCGAUAAUGGGAUUGGGAACCCAAGAGUGGGACUGGGAACCCAUAAUGGGAUCAGGAAGCCAAUAGUGGGAUCAGGAAGCCAAUAAUGGGAU